rnacentral:rRNA from 1 species
CCUAUCAGCUUUAGACGGUAGGGUAUUGGCCUACCGUGGCUAUGACGGGUAACGGGGAAUUAGGGUUCGAUUCCGGAGAGGGAGCCUGAGAAACGGCUACCACAUCUAAGGAAGGCAGCAGGCGCGCAAAUUACCCAAUCCUAAUACAGGGAGGUAGUGACAAGAAAUAACAAUACAGAACCUUACGGUUUUGUAAUUGGAAUGAGUUAAGUAUAAACCCCUUAACAAGUAUCAAUUGGAGGGCAAGUCUGGUGCCAGCAGCCGCGGUAAUUCCAGCUCCAAUAGCGUAUAUUAAAGUUGUUGCAGUUAAAAAGCUCGUAGUUAAUCUUCUGUUAAUUUUUAUAUAUAAUAUCUCGAUAUUUAUAUAAUAUUAACAUAAUUCAUAUUACUUUUUAGUAUAUGAAACUUUACUUUGAGAAAAUUAGAGUGCUUAAAGCAGGCUAUUGCCUUGAAUACUCCAGCAUGGAAUAAUAUUAAGGAUUUUUAUUCUUCUUAUUGGUUCUAGAAUAAAAAUGAUGAUUAAUAGGAACAGUUGGGGGCAUUUGUAUUUAACAGU